rnacentral:rRNA from 1 species
CGCACGGGUGAGUAACACGUGACUAACCUACCCUGGAGUGGGGGAUAACUGAGGGAAACCUUAGCUAAUACCGCAUAAUACCCACGGGUCAAAGGAGCAAUUCGCUCUGGGAGGGGGUCGCGGCCGAUUAGUUAGUUGGCGGGGUAACGGCCCACCAAGACGAUGAUCGGUAUCCGGCCUGAGAGGGCGCACGGACACACUGGAACUGAAACACGGUCCAGACUCCUACGGGAGGCAGCAGUGGGGAAUCUUGCACAAUGGGGGCAACCCUGAUGCAGCGACGCCGCGUGAGCGAUGAAGCCCUUCGGGGUGUAAAGCUCUUUCGGUAGGGAAGAUUAUGACGGUACCUGCAGAAGCAGCUGCGGCUAACUACGCGCCAGCAGCCGCGGUAAUACGUAGGCAGCGAGCGUUGUUCGGAGUUACUGGGCGUAAAGGGUGUGUAGGCGGUCGCCUAAGUUUGGUGUGAAAUCUCCCGGCUUAACCGGGAGGGUGCGCCGAAUACUGAGUGACUAGAGUGCGGGAGAGGAAAGUGGAAUUCCUGGUGUAGCGGUGAAAUGCGUAGAUAUCAGGAGGAACACCGGCGGUGCAGACGGCUUUCUGGACCGUAACUGACGCUGAAACACGAAAGCGUGGGUAGCAAACAGGAUUAGAUACCCUGGUAGUCCACGCCGUAAACGUUGGGCACUAGGUGUGGGCCCUAUCGACGGGUUCCGUGCCGCAGCUAACGCAUUAAGUGCCCCGCCUGGGGAGUACGGCCGCAAGGCUAAA